rnacentral:lncRNA from 1 species
UUACCACCACUAAAGAGACAUUUUCAAAAAUACAUUCUUUAUUAAGUGGCAAAAGACUUUUAUACUCUUUUUUUAUAUAUAUGUAUAAUAAAUAAAUAAAAAAAGAAAAUAAAAAUUAAUUUUUAUGCUUUUCAAUUAUAAUUUUACAAAUUUGAAGUUCUUAUAAAAAAAAUCAAAUUUUUUUUUGAAAAUUGCUUUUCGCUGUUUUUUUUUUU